AAAAUAGAAUAAGUUUGGCUUCGAAUCAAACAUAGACUAAAGUCCUAUUUUA
rnacentral:tRNA from 1 species